CACGUAGGGGGCAAGCGUUGUCCGGAUUUAUUGGGCGUAAAGAGCUCGUAGGCGGUUCGGUAAGUCGGGUGUGAAACCUCCAGGCUCAACCUGGAGAGGCCACCUGAUACUGCUGUGACUCGAGUCCGGUAGGGGAGCGUGGAAUUCCUGGUGAGCGGUGAAAUGCGCAGAUAUCAGGAGGAACACCGAUGGCGAAGGCAGCUCGCUGGGACGGUACUGACGCUGGAGGCACGAAAGCGUGGGUAGCAAACAGG
rnacentral:rRNA from 1 species